UACGUAGGGGGCAAGCGUUGUCCGGAUUUAUUGGGCGUAAAGAGCGUGUAGGCGGCUAGAUAGGUCCGUUGUGAAAACUCGAGGCUCAACCUCGAGACGCCGAUGGAAACCAUCCAGCUAGAGUCCGGAAGAGGAGAGUGGAAUUCCCGGUGUAGCGGUGAAAUGCGCAGAUAUCGGGAGGAACACCAAUGGCGAAGGCAGCUCGCUGGGACGUUACUGACGCUGAGACGCGAAAGCGUGGGGAGCGAACAGG
rnacentral:rRNA from 1 species